GAGGGUUGACCGUUCACGAAUUUUCGUAGCACGAUGCUUGGGAUCGCAUUCCGACAGGGGUUCCGAAAAGACUCUUCAGGUCGCCUUCACCAAAAAAUGGGCUCUGACGUGCACACAUUAAAUGCCAAAAUAUCUGGGGGCGGCAGUGCACAAGAUGCGAGGGGACGGCUUCGGCUGUGCCCAUCUCUCUGUACUUCCUACGUUCGAAAUUCAAACUCGGAAGUAGGGGGACUAGUGUUGGGUAUAAAAUACCCCCAGCCAAAGUCCUCAACAGAAUCAACAACUCCGCCAGCAAGGCCGACCUUAAAGGAAGGCUCCGCCCA
rnacentral:lncRNA from 1 species